AAUUUGUAGAGGAUGCUUUUGGUGAGGUGCCGCCCGAGUUCCCUGGAACGGGACGCCACAGAGGGUGAGAGCCCCGUCUGGCUGGCCGCCGAGCCUCUGUAAAGCUCCUUCGACGAGUCGAGUAGUUUGGGAAUGCUGCUCAAAAUGGGAGGUAUAUGUCUUCUAAAGCUAAAUAUUGGCCAGAGACCGAUAGCGCACAAGUAGAGUGAUCGAAAGAUGAAAAGCACCUUGAAAAGAGGGUUAAAUAGUACGUGAAAUUGUUGAAAGGGAAGCGCUUGUGACCAGACUUGGGCGCCGCGGAUCAUCCGGGGUUCUCUCCUGUGCACUUCGCCGCGUCU
rnacentral:rRNA from 1 species